rnacentral:rRNA from 1 species
AGCAGCCGCGGUAAUUCCAGCUCCAAUAGCGUAUAUUAAAGUUGUUGCAGUUAAAAAGCUCGUAGUUGAAUUUCGGGGUUAGUAGGUCGGUCAUGCCUCCGGUAUGCACUGGUCUCACUGAUUCCUCCUUCCUGAUGAGCCGUAAUGCCAUUAAUUUGGUGUUGCGGGGAAUCUGGACUGUUACUUUGAAAAAAUUGAGUGUUUAAAGCAGGCUAACGCUUGAAUACAUUAGCAUGGAAUAAUGGAAUAGGACGUUCGAUCCUAUUUUGUUGGUUUCUAGGAUUGACGUAAUGAUUAAUAGGGAUAGUUGGGGGCAUUAGUAUUCAAUUGUCAGAGGUGAAAAUUCUUGGAUUUAUUGAAGACUAACUACUGCGAAAGCAUUUGCCAAGGAUGUUUUCAUUAAUCAAGAACGAAAGUUAGGGGAUCGAAGACGAUCAGAUACCGUCGUAG